GAUGAACGCUGGCGGCGUGCCUAAUACAUGCCAGUCGAGCGAACGGACGAGAAGCUUGCUUUUCUGAUGUUAGCGGCGGACGGGUGAGUAACACGUGGAUAACCUACCUAUAAGACUGGGAUAACUUCGGGAAACCGGAGCUAAUACCGGAUAAUAUUUUGAACCGCAUGGUUCAAAAGUGAAAGACGGUCUUGCUGUCACUUAUAGAUGGAUCCGCGCUGCAUUAGCUAGUUGGUAAGGUAACGGCUUACCGAGGCAACGAUGCAUAGCCGACCUGAGAGGGUGAUCGGCCACACUGGAACUGAGACACGGUCCAGACUCCUACGGGAGGCAGCAGUAGGGAAUCUUCCGCAAUGGGCGAAAGCCUGACGGAGCAACGCCGCGUGAGUGAUGAAGGUCUUCGGAUCGUAAAACUCUGUUAUUAGGGAAGAACAUAUGUGUAAGUAACUGUGCACAUCUUGACGGUACCUAAUCAGAAAGCCACGGCUAACUACGUG
rnacentral:rRNA from 1 species